UGUGUGACAUGGGGUAGUCUCAAAUCUAUCAGGGCGUCAGAGUGAGCUUGUGGAUUUCUAAUGUCCUCA
rnacentral:ribozyme from 1 species